rnacentral:sRNA from 1 species
UGGUCACUGUUGAAAGCCUUCAUUCAGUCCCCCUUUCUCUAGCCAGGGCUGCCUGGACCCCUGGAUGCCCUGAUUACCAUCCUUAAUUCUCCUUACUAGGUGCAUAUAAUUGGCCACAUUCCCCCAGGGCACUGUCUGAAGAGCUGGAGCUGGAAUUAUUACCGAAUUGUAGCCAGGUAUGAGAACACCCUGGCUGCUCAGUUCUUUGGCCACACUCAUGUGGAUGAAUUUGAGGUCUUCUAUGAUGAAGAGACUCUGAGCCGGCCGCUGGCUGUAGCCUUCCUGGCACCCAGUGCAACUACCUACAUCGGCCUUAAUCCUGGUGAGUGAGGCAGAAGGGAGCCUCCCUUAUCCUGGAGUUGGUGGGAUAGAGGAAGGAGGUUGGAGCCAGAGCCUGCAAAGCAUGGGC